rnacentral:rRNA from 1 species
AUUGAACGCUGGCGGCAGGCUUAACACAUGCAAGUCGAGCGGGGGAAGGUAGCUUGCUACCGGACCUAGCGGCGGACGGGUGAGUAAUGCUUAGGAAUCUGCCUAUAGUGGGGGACAACAUCUCGAAAGGGAUGCUAAUACCGCAUACGUCCUACGGGAGAAAGCAGGGGAUCUUCGGACCUUGCGCUAAUAGAUGAGCCUAAGUCGGAGUAGCUAGUUGGUGGGGUAAAGGCCUACCAAGGCGACGAUCUGUAGCGGGUCUGAGAGGAUGAUCCGCCACACUGGGACUGAGACACGGCCCAGACUCCUACGAGAGGUAGCAGUGGGGAAUAUUGGACAAUGGGGGGAACCCUGAUCCAGCCAUGCCGCGUGUGUGAAGAAGGCCUUAUGGUUGUAAAGCACUUUAAGCGAGGAGGAGGCUACUCUAGUUAAUACCUAGGGAUAGUGGACGUUACUCGCAGAAUAAGCACCGGCUAACUCUGUGCCAGCCGCCGCAGUAA